rnacentral:rRNA from 1 species
CCCCUAGUAACGGCGAGUGAAGCGGGAAGAGCUCAAGCUUAAAAUCUGGGGCGCUUGCGUCUUCAGAAUUGUAGUUGAGAGAAGUGUUUUCACCGGGAUGAGUGAUGGCCUAAGUUGCUUGGAACAGCACGUCAUAGAGGGUGAGAAUCCCGUCUGUGGUUGGUCACUCCCUCGGAACGAUGCACUUUCAAAGAGUCGGGUUGUUUGGGAAUGCAGCCCAAAAUGGGUGGUAAACUCCAUCUAAAGCUAAAUAUUGCCACGAGACCGAUAGCGAACAAGUACCGUGAGGGAAAGAUGAAAAGCACUUUGAAAAGAGAGUUAAAAGGACGUGAAACCGUUGAAAGGGAAACGCGCUCGGCUAGCAAUGCACGCCUGUGGUUCAGCCGGCUAGUCCUGUGCGUCGUUGUGUGGCGGAUCCGAACGGACCGUCCGCGGCGGCGGCGCUGGGCGAGCUGUGGUGCACUCCAUGGGCAUGCGCGUCAGCGUCGGUUCUCGGCGAGUGAUGAGGUGCCGGGGGAAGGUGGCUCGCCUCUUCGGAGGGGAGUGUUAUAGACCCUGGUGCUGGGCUCGCUGUGGACCGAGGAGAGAGAUGAUCGCUGCGGCACCUGCCUCUCGGGGCUAGCCAGCU